rnacentral:sRNA from 1 species
AUAAGAUCGAAUUGCCAUUAAGUCUUCAUACAGUAUUUUAUCGAAACUAGAAAUGUUCAGACUUGUUUUACUCUUGGUCCUUGUUGCAGCAGCAGCAAUUCAAGCAUGCCGCAUUAACUGUACGCAUGCUGAUAAAACUCCCAUAUGUGCCUCCGAUCGAGUGUUUAAAACUUGUUUGCGAACGACUCAAUGUGGGUUAACGGGAGAAAAUUGUAAUCGUCGAAUGCUUGGACGAGGCAAACUUUCAAAGAUUAAUAUAUCCAAAUGUAGUGGAAUUAAAACUCUAGAUACAAGAGGUCCUUGCACAUAAUUAUGAAUUAUUGAUUGUACUGGAAAUUAGUUAGAAAAAAUUAAUAAACAUUUGUUGAAUGAUAACUCGUUUGAUGACAACAGCUGAUUUUAUUGAAUUAGUUAGCGGAACAUCGAUAAACCUUUAUGCCUAUAACAAUCACAAUAAAUAAAAAAAAUAAAUAAAAAA